rnacentral:rRNA from 1 species
GACAGAGGGUGCAAACGUUGUUCGGAAUUACUGGGCGUAAAGCGCACGUAGGCGGCUUUGUAAGUUAGAGGUGAAAGCCUGGGGCUCAACCCCAGAAUUGCCUUUAAGACUGCAUCGCUUGAAUCCAGGAGAGGUGAGUGGAAUACCCAGUGUAGAGGUGAAAUUCGUAGAUAUUGGGUGGAACACCGGUGGCGAAAGCGGCUACUCUGGUCCGGACCUGACGCUGAGGCGCG